AUGGCCUUUCGUGGGACUUUACCUUGUGAUCAUGGCAGGUGCAGAGGAUCCAGCAUGUUAUUCUGAAACCCCAGAAGACGCUGCAGCUACCAAAUAGAAGGAGCCUGGAUCCCUGAAUGUCUUCAUGGAACAGAACAUUCUCCUCACUCCAGUCUGUUUGAACCAGAAUAUGACCUGAGCAAGAAAUAAGCCUUAAUUAUAUUUGACCAUAGAAUUCUGGUGAUAUUUCUAUGGCUGUAAGUCCAUGUUGAUUAAUACAAAGGGAUGCUGUAAAGCCUCUUCUAUUAAAAAAAGUUGCCCAAGGAGUGAAAGGAGAGAUAUUUUCUGUAAUUAAGAUUUUCAUAAUACAUAGAACAGGCUAUAGCACCUGGCAAUCAAUCAUAUGGGGUACAACAGAAAGAGGAAACAUUCCUGCUAUUAAAUUAACCAAACUGGAGUUCUUGUUAUAUAAUAUAGUAAAAUUUCCUCAAUCUUUCAGCCACCUUUAGUUCUGUAAUCUAUUAUUUCUGGGUAAAAGCAUACCAUUUGAUACACAAUCCAAACCCAAUUCUUAAUUAAUAACGUGUAUCCACUGUAUCUUACCACAUCCCAAAUCAUCUAAUACUUAACCACCUAGUUUCUAUGUUCCACUUACAUCAAACAUAUUCAUGUUUGGAAAAUUGAGCCAGCAUCUACUGCCUUAUCAGCUGAUGCAUAACAAUUUACUUUGUCUGUGCUCUAUAAUAAUGCAAGUCUGCUUGGAAAGAUAACACGUUAAAGGGUUAUCAGACCCUAACACCUUCGUAUAGAUGAAUUUAUCAGAUCCUCUGCUAAACCACUUUCGAAUCCUUGGCCAGUUCUCUACAUUUCAUGAAGAGUUAGCAUAGCCAGUCCAGGAGAUAUUAUCUUCAGGAUGUGGUCAGUUGUGGAAAGGAAGAUAGCUCUGAGGAUCUCUUUCCAGGGAAAAGAAAGACAUGAGGAUUGCUCCAAAGAUCCUCUUUCUGGGGGAAAACGCACAUACUACAG
rnacentral:lncRNA from 1 species